rnacentral:tRNA from 1 species
UGGGGUGUGGCUCAGUAGUAGAGCACUUGCCUAGAACAUGUGACACUCUGGGUUCAAUCCUCAGCACCACAU